UGGUCAUUUAGAGGAAGUAAAAGUCGUAACAAGGUCUCCGUUGGUGAACCAGCGGAGGGUUCAAAGCUGGAACGCGCCCCAGGCGCACCCAGAAACCCUUUGUGAAGUUAUACCUUACUGUUGCCUCGGGGCAUGCUGGCCCCCUCGGGGUCCCUUGGAGACAAGGAGCUGGCACGCCGGCGGCCAAGUUAACUCUUGUUUCUACACUGAAACUCUGAGAAAAAAACACAAAUGAAUCAAAACUUUCAACAACGGAUCUCUCGGUUCUGGCAUCGAUGAAGAACGCAGCGAAAUGCGAUAAGUAAUGUGAAUUGCAGAAUUCAGUGAAUCAUUGAAUCUUUGAACGCACAUCGCGCCCUCUGGUAUUCCGGAGGGCAUGCCUGUUCGAGCGUCAUUUCAACCCUCAAGCACUGCUUGGUGUUGGGGCACUGCUUCUUACCCAAGAAGCAGGCCCUGAAAUCUAGUGGCGAGCUCGCCAGGACCCCGAGCGCAGUAGUUAAACCCUCGCUCUGGAAGGCCCUGGCGGUGCCCUGCCGUUAAACCCCCAACUUUUGAAAAUUUGACCUCGGAUCAGGUAGGAAU
rnacentral:rRNA from 1 species